rnacentral:rRNA from 1 species
AUUGAACGCUGGCGGCAGGCCUAACACAUGCAAGUCGAACGGUAACAGGAAACAUCUUGCUGUUUCGCUGACGAGUGGCGGACGGGUGAGUAAUGUCUGGGAAACUGCCUGAUGGAGGGGGAUAACUACUGGAAACGGUAGCUAAUACCGCAUAACGUCGCAAGACCAAAGAGGGGGACCUUCGGGCCUCUUGCCAUCGGAUGUGCCCAGAUGGGAUUCGCUAGUAGGUGGGGUAACGGCUCACCUAGGCGACGAUCCCUAGCUGGUCUGAGAGGAUGACCAGCCACACUGGAACUGAGACACGGUCCAGACUCCUACGGGAGGCAGCAGUGGGGAAUCUUGCACAAUGGGCGCAAGCCUGAUGCAGCCAUGCCGCGUGUAUGAAGAAGGCCUUCGGGUUGUAAAGUACUUUCAGCGGGGAGGAAGGGAGUAAAGUUAAUACCUUUGCUCAUUGACGUUACCCGCAGAAGAAGCACCGGCUAACUCCGUG